ensembl:lncRNA novel transcript
GCGGAGGAGCCCGCGCCCGCCGGGAUGCCCAGCCCCGCGCCGCGCUGACCCACCGAGCCCUCGCUCAGACGCCCCAGCUCCGCCGAGAGGCCGCUCGCGCCGGGUCCUUCCUCUUCCCCAGGUGCAGGCAGAGCCCCCGGAGUCAUGGCCAGCCCUUCCGGCAGCUCCGAAGCCACUGGCAAGCCCCGAGGCAGGGAUGGCCGGCCCAGGAGGGAAGAGGACGACGUCCCUCCCGAAGAGAAGAGGCUGCGGCUGUUGCUGGAGGGGGGAAGCGCAGAACCUGAGGACUGCGAGGACGGGGAGGACGUGCCGCGGCCAGGCAGGGAGGAGACCGGGACCCAGACAGGUGGCGACGGCAGAGGAGCGCAGUGGCUCACACCUGUAAUCCCAGCUACUUGGGAGGCUGAGGCAGGAGAAUCGUUUGCACCUGGGAGACAGAGGUUGCAGUCAGCCGAGAUCGCACCACUGUACUUCAGCCAGCCUGGGUGACAGAGCGAGACUCUGUUUCAAAAAUAAAUAAAUAAAUAAAAUAGAAUUCUGAAUUUUAUUUUUAAUAAUUAUUUUAGUAAAGAGAAUGUCUUGUUUUUUGGAGUUGUUGAAUUUAUUGAAUUGGCAAAAAUUAUGUAUAAGAGGUUAUACAAAAUGACGUGAUUGAAGUAUGUAUACAUUACAGAAAUGGCUAAAUCAAGUUAAAUAACACUUCACAAUUCAAGAUUCCCUCAUUUAUAUAAUACUUCAUGAUUCAAGAUUCCCUUAUUUUUAUAAUUAUAAAUAAUUAUGCCUUUCCUCCAUGAAUGUUAGUGGGAUUUUUAUAUUUUUAUUGAGAUACAAUUUACCAUAAAAUUCAUUGCCUUAAAGUGUUCUAUUCAGUGGUUAUCAGUGUAUUCUUAAAAUUGUGCACCCCUCACCAUUAUCUAAUUCCAGAAUAUGUUUAUAAUCGCAAGAAGAAAUCUCUCCUCCUCCCAGUCCUUAGCAACCACUGAUCUAAUUUUUGUGUCUAUGUAUAUUCGUAUUCUGGACAUUUACUAUGGAGAGAAUAAUAAUUAUGUGAUCCUUCAUGUCUGCCUUCUUUCAUUUAGCAUAAUGUUUUCAAGAUUCAUCCAUGUUGUGGCAUAGAUUCGUACUUCAUUCCUUCAUUCAGUGGUCAUCAGUAUAUCCCACUUUAAGAAUCCACUGAUAGUCACUAAAUGGAACACUCUAAAGGAAUGAAUUUUAUAGUAAAUUCUAUCUCAAUAAAAAUAUAAAACACCAACAUUCAUGGAGGAAAGGUGUAAUUCUGUAUAAUUAUAUAAAUGAUGGAAUCUUGAAAUACAUUUUAAAACGUGCUCUGAGGUAAUAUGCGCCUCAGAAACGAUAAAUAAGUCAAUUGAUAAUCUAAAUCUCAGGUAUAAACCACAGUUUAAUAUGUAUUUAUUAUAAAGUAUUGGUGGAUUUUAAAAUUAAUUUGGGAAAGUUAGAUUGAUUAUUGGUGUUGGUAAAAAAAAAUUUCAUCGUAUGGAUUAUUUACCAUAUGGUUGUUUAUAACAGACUUUAAUGAUCCAUUGUGUUUCUUUUAUAUCAGUUGUAAUGUCUCCUGUUUUAUUUCUGAUUUUAUUUAUUUGGCAUUCUCUCUUUUGUUCUUGGUUAGUCUAGCUAGCAGUUUAUAAAGUCUGUUUAUCUCUUCCAAAAGUCAACUUUUUGUUUCAUUAAUUCUUUGCAUUUUUUAAAUCUCGAAUUCGCUGAGUUCUGCUCUGAUUUUUAUUAUUUCUUUCCUUCUCCUUAGUUUGGAUUUCAUUUUUUCUUGAUUUUCUUGUUCCUUGAGGUGCAUAGUAGCUUGUUCAUAAUCUUACUAUGUUCUUGCAGUAGGCAUUUAUUGCUAUAAAAUUCUCUAUUAGCACUGUCUUUGUUGUAUUCCAUAGGUUUUGGUAUGUUGUGUUUCCGUUUGCAUUUAUUUCAAGAACAUUUGUUAUUUUCUUCUUAAUUUUCUCAUUGACUCAAUGGUUGUUCAGAAGCAUGUUGUUUAAUUUCCAUGUUAUCUGUAUAGUUUCCAAAGUUCCUCCUAGUAUUCAUUUCUAGUUCUAUUCUAUUUUUGUCUAGAAUAUACUUGAUAUAAUGUUGAUUUUUCAAAAUUUGUUGAAACUUGUUUUGUGUCUUAACAUAUGGUCUAGCCUGGAGAAUGUUCUAUCUGAUGAGGAGAAGAAUGUGUACUCCACUGCUAUUGGAUGAAAUGUUCUGUAAAUGUCUGUUAAGUCUAUUUGGUCUGCGGUACAGAUUAAAUUCGAUGAUUAUUUGUUAGCUUUCUACCUAGAAUGCUGAAUGUUCAAUGCUGAAAGUGGGGUAUUGAAGCCCUCAGUUAUCAUGAUGUUGAGGUGUAUCUCUCUCUUUACCUCUAAUGACAUUUUUAAUAUAUCUAAGUAUUCCACUACUGGGUACAUAUAUAUACAUAUUUGGAAUUUUUAUAUCCUCUUGCUGAAUUGGCCCUUUUAUCAUUAUAUGAUGGCCUUCUUUGUCUCUUUUUAUGUUUUUUUGCUUAAAGUCAAUUUUGUCCAAUAUAAAUAUAGAUGUAUUAGGCCAUUCUUGCAUUGCUAUAGGGUUAUCAUAAGAAAGUACCACAGAAUGGGUGCCUUAAAUAACAAAAGUUCAUUUUCUCACAGUUGUGGAUGUUAUAAGUCUAAGAUCAAGAUGUCAGCACAUUUGGUUUCUCCUGAGGCCUGUCUUGGCUUGCAGCUGGUUGCCUUCUUGCUAUGUCCUCUUAUGGCAUUUUUUCUGUGCACAUGCAUUCCUGGUGUCUCUUCCUCUUCUAAUAAGGACAUCAGCCAUAUUGCACGAGGGCCAUACCCUGGGAGUCUCAUUUUAGCUUUAUCACUCCUUAAAAAAAAAAACAAACUUAUCUUCAAAUAUGAUUACAUUCUGAGAUACUAAAGAUUGGGACUUCAACAUACAAAUUUUGGAGGAACACUGCUUAGCCCAUAACGAUGAAUUCAUCAAUAGACUGAUAUGAUCAAGGAAAGAAUCGGUGAGCUUAAAGAAGUUUAAAUAGCAACUUCCAAAACUUAAAAGCAAAGAAAAAAGAAGUAAAAGAACAGAAUAUUUAAUAAGUGUAGGCCAAUUGCAAAAGGAACAAUAUAUGUGUAAUGAAGUAUCAGGAGGAGGAGAAAGAAA